rnacentral:rRNA from 1 species
UAUCUCUGUAGAGUCUGCAUAUCAAUAAGCGGAGGAAAAGAAACUAACAAGGAUUCCCUUAGUAACGGCGAGUGAAGCGGGAAGAGCUCAAAUUUGAAAUCUUCAAGGUUCUACCUUGACGAAUUGUAGUUUAAAGAAGUGUUUUCUGUUAGAUGAGUAGCAAAAGUUCCUUGGAAUGGGACAUCAUAGAGGGUGAGAAUCCCGUAUUUGGUUAUUCAUUCUAGCUUUGUGAUACACUUUCAAAGAGUCGGAUUGUUUGGGAAUGCAGUCCAAAAUGGGUGGUAAAUUUCAUCUAAAGCUAAGUAUUGGCGAGAGACCGAUAGCGAACAAGUACCGUGAGGGAAAGAUGAAAAGAACUUUGAAAAGAGAGUUAAACAGUACGUGAAAUUGUCAAAAGGGAAGCGUUUGACACCAGUGUCGUUUUUCCGAAAAUCAAUUACGAAUGGCUUGAUUCUGUGUUGUAUUGACCUUAUCAGCUUUCUUCACUUUUUUCGAGUCUUUCUUAAUGCACUUUUCGGUUAACAAGUCAACAUCAAUUUCUUUUGUUGUAAAAGAGUAUUCGGAAGGUGGCUUUCUUUUCGGAGAAAGUGUUUAUAGCCCUAUACUUCUACAAUCGGAGAGAUUGAGGUCUGCAGCGUAGAUCCUUCGGGGUUAGAUACACUUGUGCUAAGUUGUAGCCUUUCAUAGACAACUUGUUGACUAUGAUCAGUCAUGUAGCUUACUCGCUUAUGCUAUUUUACCUACGCUUAGGAUGUUGACGAGACUGUCGAUCUC